rnacentral:rRNA from 1 species
CGCGUAGGCGGCCAAUUAAGUCAAAUGUGAAAUCCCCGAGCUUAACUUGGGAAUUGCAUUCGAUACUGGUUGGCUAGAGUGUGGGAGAGGAUGGUAGAAUUCCAGGUGUAGCGGUGAAAUGCGUAGAGAUCUGGAGGAAUACCGAUGGCGAAGGCAAUCCCCUGGACCUGUACUGACGCUCAUGCACGAAAGCGUGGGGAGCAAACAGGAUUAGAUACCCCUGUA